GCAUGAAGCUGGAAUCGCUAGUAAUCGCAGAUCAGAAUGCUGCGGUGAAUACGUUCCCGGGUCUUGUACACACCGCCCGUCACACCAUGGGAGUUGGGAAUGCCCGAAGUCAGUGACCCAACCGCAAGGAGGGAGCUGCCGAAGGCAGGCUUGAUAACUGGGGUGAAGUCGUAACAAGGUAGC
rnacentral:rRNA from 1 species